GGGGGUCCUGGGGGGCGGGGGCCUCCGGGCGCGUCGCCCCCAUCUUCCCCCAGGCCUCCCACUCUGCACUGGGGAGCUCUUUAUGACGCCCCCCUCCCCCACCACCUCCCCGUCUCUUCGUUCACGUCCGAACUCGGGUAAAUCACUCUCAGUCUCAGUUUCAGCCUCCCUUGGAGACCAGGGAGGGUGCAGACCAGAUUCGAAAAGCCAGGGCAUCGACACCCCCACGGGGCUCGUGGAGCAUGGACGCGGGCCCAUUUCUGCUUAGGGUCUGGAGCUGCGGGAAUCUGCAUUGGGAGGGAGCUCGCAGUGGUGUUGAUGCUGUGGGUUCGUGGCUCGGCUCCGGGAACCGCCGGCCCAGUCAGCCCUGAACUCCGGGCGCCGCUGCGUCAUCCUCCCAGUUAGUGGGCAGGAAGCACAGGGACACGACCUGGUGUCUGGAUGCAGGGAUGAGGGAUGACCUGCGAGGACAUCAGCUCUGUGACAGGCACCCACAGUGCAGGCCGUGGUUGGUGUGCUGGGAGGGAGGGACGGGGACUCCAGGGCUGGCAGGAACUCAGGUGCUGGCCACCUUUGCGGUUUCAUUUUUACCGACGCUGAUGGAAUUUCAUCACUAGAGAGGCAUAAAACUCAUUACUGUAAACUUUAUUACUCUAGCUGUUGGAAAGGAGUGGGUAGGGACUGGCAGAGAGGGGCAUAUGGGGAUUGAUUGUUCUGCUUUUGGGGUGGGUCUCCUGUGGUCUCCUAUGGUGUAAGAGUCCAGACUUAGGUUUAAAGCAGGCCUCGUCCAUGCACACUGCUCUUCUGUUUCUGAUGCUCUGGUCAAGCCUGUGAGCUCCAGCUAGAGGCAGUGAGCUGCCUGACGUGGGUCAGCGGUGCGCUCCAAUCUUCUCAGCCUGAUUGGCCUGGGAGGGAUUUUUCUUUUUGUAAACUUAGCUGUUUGUCCCUACCCCUUUCCACACUGAACUUCCUUAACCCUGUUGUCAUGUGUAAGCUAGGAAGUGGGAUAUUCUGUGGGAAUUGUUGGAGCUAUGCCCUAAAUUCUGCUUAUCCUAUCCUGGAUUUGUGGAAUCAGAUCAUGAGGAAAAUGGAAAUAGCCACCGCCAAGAAGCACAAAGAAAUGCACAAAGGCUUCAGGGGCAUUUUGGGAAGUUGCUAAUGUGUGCAGAACACAAUACUUUGUGGUUGGUGCUGUGGAGAGGUGGGGCCCAGGUGGGUGGCAUUAUGGGAACUCCAUUUGGCAGGUACAGGGUCACAGGGCCUCGUGCUUCCUUUCCUCAGAGGCCUGAGCUCAUCACCCUCCUUCCACUGAAUUCCUGGUAAAUCACCUGAGUCAAGGGAGGAGAAGAAAAAUGGCUGCUUCCAGAGAGAUCACAGAAUGGCGCCCUUGGGAGUUACUCGUGGCGUGGCUGGAGGUAGAUGUGCCUGCAGGGAGAGGAGGCCUGGAGCCCUCACCUUGUCCCCUAAGCUGUGUAGAUCUCAGCUUUUCAGUGUACCCUGCACCAUACACUCAACACAGCAGUGACGACUGCCUUCAGCCCCCAGAGAGGCAACUGUUUACUAACGUCCCUGAAAGUAGAGAUGCGGGUGUGUGGCCGGGGCUAGCAGUUCCCUGUCUAAGUGCCCCAGUGCAGGUGGGCUAGGAGGAGGUGCCAAGCCUUAAUGUGGGGACAGCUGCGGUGACACAUGCCAGCAUGCCCUGGAGGCAUGUUUCAGGAUGAGAUUCCAUCCUGCCCUGUCUUUCUUCCCUGCAUUACUGGGUUUAUGAGUAAAACUCAUUAUUUGUCCAAGAAUGAAGUAACGAGUUCUAGAUUCACCAGCAGGAACUCCCAUUACAUGCUGCUGUUCACAAAAGACAUGAUCAAUGGUGAUUUUAUAUGAUUUUAUUAUAAUGAUUGUCUCAUAACAGCUGUCAUCCCUACUUGGCCUCCAGAACGUCAGUGGACCCCAAAGAGCACUGGAGGAGGCUGUCCGUUCCUCCUGCCUGCUCAGGCUCUCAACACUGCCUCCUGGCCAUGGCUGGUGGUGCAGUGUGCCUCAACUUCCAGGCCCACAAGUUUAGAUCUGAUGGAAAAGGAAAAACUGGCUGAAAAAAAGGGCUUCAUUUCUCGGGUAGGGAAUGGCUCAGUGGGGGAAGAAUCAGUGCUUGUGCCAACGAUUCCUGACUCUGCCUUUCCAUCCCUUGACCCUCUCCAGCUCUGUGUUCCCACUGCCUCCUGGGCCCUCUGGUCUCAACACAGCCUCUGAAUCCACUGAUUUUGCAGCUCUCAGAUCCUUCUCUGUCUUUCUACUCAUUUCUGUUUCCUUCACUCAGGUUCUGGAGCUUUAGAAUAUUCCCCUAAGAGGUCUGCAGGGCCUUGGUGUUCCCAUCUGAUUGGCUCUUGCUCCAACUCUCCGGGGGUUUCCUGAGUUUCCACUGCCCACAGGACGGAGCCAGACAUGGUUCAGUGCCUGGCAUCCCCAGGGAGUGUGUUUGGUGAGUGGUUGGAGCAAGUGAGCAAAAGACAGUUCUGCAGAGAGAUUUGCUUGGCCACAGCCUGCUCCUGGCUGAGAUAACAGAGACUAGAGUCAGGAGUUGCUAUGGCAACCCAGAAGUGUGGUUUAUGCCAGCCACAAGGAUGUGGCUGUGUUCGUUGAGGGCAGGGACCAACGUUGGUUGCAGCGGCGCUGAGGACAAGGAGGAACCGGGCUCUUGGAUUUUCCCCAAAGGCUUGAAGUCCUAAGUUAUUACCAUGACAACGUUCUCUCCUCCAGAAACAAGUUCUUUUCUCUGUGGACACAGCUCAGGGCCCAGAGGGGACUGAGAUGACGUUAGGGAAAAAGUGUGGUUCUUUGCCUCUCAUGGCAGCUCCAAGGUUUCAUUUGUCCCCAGGCAGAGGCUGCCGGCCUGGGGAUUUGAGGGCUGGUACUGAGUGUCUCUUGGAAUGUCAGUGAAAUGACUACCUCAAGCCUCCCUCAUUCCUCAAAGCCCAGCCUGCUCUGCAUCCCCCUGACUGUGUCAGAGCUUGAUUUAAUGUUGCAAGUGAUUAAAACAACAACAAUGAGAACAACUCAAAGAGCUUAAACAGUAAAGGGUAUGGGCUGGCUUUAAUGAAACACCCAUCAGCCAGAAGAUGGUUUCAAGGGAAAGUUGGAGGCCACUGAGGAUGACGCUUUGUGGCUUGUCUUUUGCAAUGUCUGCCCCUUGCUCAGGCUACAGGCAGUGGCUGCCUGGCAAAUCCUGUGUCUCCUCACGCUGAUAGAAUGGCUGCUGUGUCUCAGACUGCACAUUGCCAUACCUUCCUCUUUCCCGGCACACAGCCAAGUGCCACACCAAGCCUCGCUGAUUCUGAUUCGGCCAGUUCCCCAUUUCUGUACUAGGAAGUGUAACCAGGGACCGCCAGAUAGAUAUGCCGACUGCGCAGUCGGCCCAGGUGGAACUGGAGGUGGGCCUUUCCCACGCAGUGAGAACAGCUAGCAUUUAUCAAGUACUUAUUAUGUGCCAAGCCUCAUUCUUCAUCAAGCUAUUUAUUUAAUCCUCACAGCAACUCCAGGAGGUGGGUUCUGUGAUUCCCGUGGUGCAGAUGAGGAACCCGAGGUGCAGGAGGUGGACUAGCUUGCCCGUGACACACAGCCAGUUCAUGCCAGAAAACGAAGGAGACAUGCUUUCCCAAGGAGGGUCACAGAUGCUGAGCGCAGCAAACCAUAGGCCUGUACCUCCCGUGCUGUCAGGGGCACCGUGCCCAGCCUCCUCUCCGCUCGCUCUCUCCUACCUCCUCCCAGUUGGUGCAGGGAAUGCAGAAAGCCCUGGAAGACAGCUGCGGGGCUGGGCAACUUGAGCGAAGCAUAAACCACCGGAUGUCGGGCACCGCCCCAGCAUCAGGGGUGGGGAGACUGCGUUUCUGAUGAGUUUCCGGGUGAUAUUGGUGUUGCUGCUCCUGGGACCCCACAUUGUUCCUGACAGUGCUGGUCAAAGGCUGGUGCAUGGACCCGUGUCAGUUGGGAAUCUGUCAGGAGUGCAGACGCUGUGGAACCUGGGGGUGCUCAGGAAUCUGUAGUGAGCUGAGGAAGAGGUACAACGUCACAGCCAUCCCCAAGCUUGUGAUUGUGAAACAAAAUGGGGAGGUCAUCACCAACAAAG